CCUGAGAAACCCAAAAGAUCGAAUGGGGAGAUUCAUCGUCAGCGAUUUUGGUACGUGUGCGGUCUCGCGAUGUCCGUGACUUCGGUCUCUGGGCACGCGUCCGCAUGUUUUUUAUUGCCUCGAUCGCCGGCGUGCACUUCUCCCCUAGUAGGACGUCGCGACCCGUUGGGUGUCGGUCUACGGCCCGGGUGGUAGCCUGUCUCGUGUGCGCUUCGCGGCGUUACGCGGUUCAGACCCCUGGUUGCCCGACCGGCUGCCCGGCGGUACUCGCACGGUAUCUGGCCGCAAAUAUUCGAACUGCGUCCGGCCCGUCGCAAGCGAGACAAGUGUUUUCCGGUUGUACGGAUCCAAUGCCGUCACCGGGCCUUGUCAGCUGUUGGUUGACGGUGUCCUAGGACUGGCUAAUACAAUUAUGAUACCGGUCGGCGACGCUACUGCUUUGGGUACUUUCAGGACCCGUCUUGAAACACGGACCAAGGAGUCUAACAUGUGCGCGAGUCAUUGGGAACUCAUAAGCCUAAAGGCGCAAUGAAAGUGAAGGUCGGCCUUGCGCCGACCGAGGGAGGAUGGGCCGCGUCACGAUGCGGUCCCGCACUCCCGGGGCGUCUCGU
rnacentral:rRNA from 1 species